rnacentral:snoRNA from 3 species
UACCAAACCUUUUUGUCAGGGUGCUUCUCUAUCCGUUUUAGGAUAAACUUAUCUACAGAAGUGUCUGUUACUGUUUUGGAAGAGUAAUACUGUUCGCUUAUCCAUAUUUCCCCGUUCUGGGGAAGCCUAAUGGGUAAAUUAGAAGGACAACCUUUGUUUUAAAGGUAUACCUUCGUUUUUUAGAACAGUGAGGAUCUUAUGAGUUGAGCUUUUGUUACUUGAGACUUUAUCUCGGGCUCCAUACAAUAUGUUCGUAGUAAAGAUCCUCACAAUU